rnacentral:sRNA from 2 species
CGCCGAGUCCUGCCGCUGCCCGGUGGUUCGAAACGAACUCUGUACGGCAGGAGCGGGGGACCCACAGGUAAGUCGCCGGACCGGAGUUCGCGCCUCAGGGCGCGGGCGUCCAGGACCGGCUUGGGGUGAAGCCGCGCAAGCGGCCGGGCAACUCCAGCCCGAACCCGACAGCUCACCUCGCAGGCGUCGGAGAGGAAAAUU